rnacentral:rRNA from 1 species
GAUGAACGCUGGCGGCGUGCCUAAUACAUGCAAGUCGAACGGGGAGUCGCAAUACUCUUAGUGGCGAACGGGUGAGUAACGCGUUGGUACCUGCCCCGAAGCGGGGGAUAACGGACCGAAAGGUCCGCUAAUACCCCAUGUGCUCGGUAACGAGUAAAGGUGAAAACCACUUUGGGAGGGGCCUGCGUCCCAUCAGCUAGUUGGUAAGGUAACGGCUUACCAAGGCGAUGACGGGUAGGGGACCUGAGAGGGUGGCCCCCCACAAUGGAACUGAGACACGGUCCAUACACCUACGGGUGGCAGCAGUAGGGAAUAUUGGUAAUGGGCGCAAGCCUGAACCAGCAACGCCGCGUGUGCGAUGACGGCCUUCGGGUUGUAAAGCACUUUUGACUGGGACGAGGAAGGACGGUACCGGUCGAAUCAGCCUCGGCUAACUACGUG